CACCGAUAAUGGAACUGAACUUGCUGUUUUCACUUUCUUCUCUUCAGUUUUAGAUGCCUCUAGCAUUGCACUUAAGACAAUGGCGGCUCCAUCGUCCAGUCGUGCUCUCACAUUCUCAAUGCAAUCCUUAUGCCUAAGCCGGCGAAUAAAUUCCUCAAAAUUAGCACGCCAAAGAACUACUUGAUUUUCUGCAGCCUCACUAUCUAUAUCAGGCUCUGAAGCAUCAAGCUUGCGCUUGUCUCCGACAUGUUUGUCAGGGGAUUUAUUCUGGUCCUUUUCUCCAUCAUCAUUUAGUUCAGAAUCCAUUACAAGUGAAAAUCUUCUUGCUUCCAUAGGCACCGCCGCUGCUGCUAGAACACGUUGUUCUAUCGCUUCUGAUUCUAUAACUAUCUUAGCAGACUUAGCACCUCGCUUCCUAGCAGGAGCAUCUUCUUCAGUU
rnacentral:misc_RNA from 1 species